AUACAUUAUAGAGUCCGUUGCUCGUGCUGACCAAGCUGCCAUUUUUCUCUUUUUGCCUCUUUCAAUGGCUGCAUCAAGUUCAGGUGGACCCUCUAAACCGCAGUACAGGGAUUUGAGGUUCAAACUGCAAAAGUAUCUACAAGGAUGCCAGAGCCUUACUCCUGAUGGCCAGUGGUGAUGAUAACAUAUUAAGCAAUGGCAGAUUCCAGGCACAUAACGGUACCAUUAAUAAGGAGGCAGUUCUAUGAAAGAUUGCUAACAAAGCUUCAUGGAGCUCUACAACGCAGACCUGUAGAUAUGGACUAUUUGCAUUAUGUCAUCACUCAUGAAUUGAGACUUAUACGGUCAUUUGGUAAUAUUUUAGCAGUACCACAAGAUAUUCUUAAUGCCUUAUCCAAUCUUUUGAGACUGAUAAAUUUUCAAGACAGAGAGAGACACCCACAUUCUUCUCUUGUUGAUGUUGUAUACACAGCAAGAGGACAACGUAAACUUAGUAUAUCAGAAGAAUCUUUGCAAAGCCUCAUCAACAUGAAAUUUUCCAUUCCCAGUAUAGCUCGGCUUCUGGGUGUCAGCAAAAGGACAUUAUUUCGUCGGAUGCAAGAGUAUGGACUUUCAGUGCAUGCAUCAUAUAGCAGUGUCACAGAUGAUGAGCUGGACAGCCUUGUUAGAUCAGUUAAAAUGAGACUGCCACACAUUGGCUAUCGAAUGAUGAUGGGGGAACUGCAGGCCAUGGGAUACCGUGUCAGAUGGGAGCAAGUGUCUGCAUCGAUGCAUAGGGUAGAUGCUGCAGGAAUCCUAGAAAGGAUGGCAUCUGUCGGCUGUGUUGCAAGAAGAAUGUACUCUGUAAAAGGUCCCCUCUCAUUGGUUCAUGUAGAUACAAACCACAAACUCAUCAGGUUUGUGUACAGUACGUGUAUGUUCAGUACUCUGGAUACCCUGUAACUAUUUUCAUUUCUGAUUUGAGCAUAAGGCAUUUUACGUUAACAGUUAGAGGAUCCAGGUAAAUUUCUAUUUCUACAAAGUAAAAAAAAUGUUCCUGUUUAGUAAGCAAAGAAACAAACA